rnacentral:rRNA from 1 species
GCCAGACUCCUACGGGAGGCAGCAGUGGGGAAUAUUGGGCAAUGGGCGCAAGCCUGACCCAGCAACGCCGCGUGAAGGAAGAAGGCCCUCGGGUUGUAAACUUCUUUUAUUCGGGACGAAACAAAUGACGGUACCGAAUGAAUAAGCCACGGCUAACUACGUGCCAGCAGCCGCGGUAAUACGUAGGUGGCAAGCGUUAUCCGGAUUUACUGGGUGUAAAGGGCGUGUAGGCGGGAGAGCAAGUCAGACGUGAAAUUCCAGGGCUCAACCCUGGAACUGCGUUUGAAACUGUUCUUCUUGAGUGAUGGAGAGGCAGGCGGAAUUCCGUGUGUAGCGGUGAAAUGCUUAGAUAUCACGAAGAACCCCGAUUGCGAAGGCAGCCUGCCGCAGCGUUACUGACGCUGAAGCUCGAAAGCGCGGGUAUCGAACAGGAUUAGAUACCCGCGUAA